UUAGGGCUUGCUAAUUAGGGUUAGGGUUUCCUAAUUAGGGUUUAGGAUUCCUGAAUAUUAAAUUAAGGUUUCACAGCUUUCGUUUAGGGUUCCUAACUAUACGUUAAGGUUUCUAAACCUGAGAUUAGGGUUUAUAAUAUCUCAUUAGGGUUUACUAAUGUUAUACCCUGCUCGAUCAAUCACUGAUCAAAAUUCUAUAUAGUACAAACAUGUACUCAACGAUAAAGUUAUAAUAACUAUAUUUUUUAUCGAACCCCUAUCCGGACUUAGGGUUAGGGUUUUCUAUUCUCAGUUAAGCACAACUCUACUCUUAUCUCUCAGUCAAUACACAAAUUUAC
rnacentral:lncRNA from 1 species